GUACAAAGUACACCGACAGGAAACCAUCAGGCUUUGUUCUUUUCUUCCUAAUUUGGCAGAAGAGAAAUGGGACAAACCAGGGCCCUUUACAGGCAAGGGCGGUGUUCCUUUGAGGAUUUUCAAGAGAGCUGUGCUACAAAAUAGCAAAAGGUGGCAACUUCAGGAGGUUGUCUUGGAGCCCAAGGAUGGGCAGAAGAUUCCUGUGUUCGUGGUCAGAGAGAAGAUAUAGUAAAAAAAUGGAGUAAAAGUAAUUAGAAUGACAGCAUUCUUCAAGUUUGGCCUCUCUCAUCUCCACCAUGUGCUCACCAGGAAUGACAGCCAUCUGCGUGCAGACACUCCUGUGAGCCAGUUCUCUUGGCUCUAGGUGUGGGCAUAUGGUAAUGUGGGUAUAAUUCUAAUUUGACCACAAACAAAUGCUAUUGUGGUUUUUAAAUUAAAUCAAAAUAUUUUUAUUAUAAGUUUAUAAGGUAAUUUAUUUAAGUGGUCUGUAUUUAUAUAAAAGCAAAGCAUAAGACAAAAGGAAUGAGUAUUAAUAAUAAAAUGUUGAUCUCUGUUGGUUCUCAUUUCUUUUCCUCUCCCCACCCCUUCCCCCUAAUUUUUAGCUCCAUCAAUAAAAAGGCUAAGGUUUACUAGCAUUAAAGAAGCUUUUAAAGUUUUGGCAUUAGACUGCUGAGAAAAGACCAGGUACUUUUGUUUUGGUCAUUCUACCCUGAAUUCAUGUUAGUAGUUAUGUAGCUUGUGGGCAUUCUCAAAAUCAUUUUGGAAAUUUGUGUUUGCUUUUUUUUUGUUCCUUCUUGUUUUUAUUUCAGUUCCCGACUGUGUGUCUGAUUAAAGAUUUGCAAAAUUGCUUUAAUACCAAAACAUCCCAAAAGUUUGAAAGCUUAUGUAUGUACAUAAAUAUGUAUAAAAUUAUUGUGGAAAAGUGAGUUUAAAGCUAGUAGGUCCUUAACCUUCUGCUUUCCAAGCCAUUUAACCACAUAUUAGAGCAUUGUAUUCUUAGCUAGUAUUAGUUGUACAAGAAACGAUAUUGUGAAGCUUUAAAAGAUUUUCCUUCUGAGAAUCAGAAUUUACAAAAACAGAAGUUAUGGUAUGUUUGCUUUGAAAAGGCCCAUUUAACCUUCUUAGUAUUAUGAGGCAUAAUAUAAUUGUAAUUGUCUACAGUGAGGGAUAUUCAUAAGAUCUUUCUUGCAUUCUUAAUAUUCUUUGGAGAAAAAACUUGUCAGGGAAAAAAAAAAACAUGCCAGUAGAGUAUGAGAUGUUUAAUCAUUCUAUUCUAGAGUUUGUGCCUUAAAAAUACACUUAAUGUUCUUUGUUUAUACAGUGAAAAAUCAUUCUGUUUCCCUGAGAGCAAGUGUGUUCAUUGCUAAGUAUUACAACCUCCAAAGUCUUUUAAAAUAAUAGCUCACUGUACACAGAUUUUGGUGCCCCUUUAUUCUUUAACAAUUACAUACUAUUGUGUAUAUGUCAGAUUAUGUAUUGCUUCAGAUCUGACACUUCUUUGACAACUUUUACUUCCUUUCCGUGUAUGUUAGGGUUUUUUGUUUCAUUGCUACGGCCAAAGCAUAGUAAAAUGGGGUGGGCCUGAAGUAAAAGCAAGUGACAGUUUUUGUUUGUGUACAAUUUGACUCA